rnacentral:tRNA from 2 species
AAGGAUUUAAGUUAAAAAAACUCACAGCCUUCAAAGCUGUAAAUAAAGGAAAGAGCUUUAAGCCUUA